rnacentral:misc_RNA from 1 species
GAAGUUUUAUGCGAUAUCUUCCUGGAGUAUCAAAGGUUUGAUUCUGCUUUAUUGUUCUCUCGCCUUGGUAAUUACCUGGAACUAACAAAGUCGUAGUGACUUUAUAAGGUGCUUGAGACCCAGAUGGGAAUCUGUAUCUAUCUAUAAUCUCAAUCUCCACCCAGAAGUUCUUCCCCUCCUCAUCACGGAAAGCUCUUGAAGAAGGUGUAAUAUAGAUCCCUUCACGGUUGUAUUGGUUUGCAACAUUAUUUCUUCCUUGAUUAGCUGAUUUCCAAGCCUUAAGGGGAUGAUGUGGAACAGGAGUUGAGAAGCAAAAAACAUUUCCAUUCAUUGUUG